GGUAUGAUAAAUGAACUUUCGCCUAAAUGCAUUGUGGGUUUAUUUUAACAUGUUUGCUAUUUGCGUUUUGAAUUGUUUGAUUUAAACUCUCCCAGAUGUUCGUGGAUUUUGAUGAUAUGGAUUUUAGAUGACUUCGAGACAUGUACAGUUUUGCAGUUUCUUCAUAUCACAUACAUCUCCAGCUCCUACAACAACAUUCAGUGUCCAGCAGCUCUUUAUGAUGCUCUCUCUCUCUCUCUCUCUCUCUCUCUCUCUCUUUCUCUCUCACUCUCUCUCUCUCUCUCUCUCUCUCUCAUUUUCCUUUCCUAUUUUUCUGAACUGUAAUUCAUAAAUAAGUCACACAUAUUUUUCUUUCUUUCUCUUGUUCAUCAUGGCAUAUUUUCACAGCUCAGAAUCAGAUUUUGAUCAGUUCUUGUAUUAACAGGGAACUUGUACUCGAAGCUCAACUUGAAGAAGUUUCCAGUGAAGAUGAAGUCCUUCAAAGGUUCGACACAGCUGAAAAGGAAGACCAUGGGCCUGUCAAACCUUGUUUGUGGAGAGGGAUGAAUUUGACCAUCUUGUGUGUUUACGGAGAAGACCAAAAGCUGCUAAGGCAGAUAUUUCCAGAGGUACAAACAGAGCGGAUGGUUGCAUGAUGGCCUCUUUCAGGUUUGUCAACUGAAUGUCUACUAGUGUGGCUCAGCAAGUUCCUGUCAUGAUCAGCCCUCUCCAAGAAAGCUGAAGAGCAAAAACACAAAGAACAUCAGUCCUGUUGGGGAUGAGGAAUGAACAUGGCUCUAUUGUGCCCAAACAGAAAAGAGUGAAAAGUCCUAGAAUGAACAAAUCAUCAGGGCAUCAUUUCUGGAAUUUGGGCAGAAAAUGACUGAAUAUGAAAGACUGCAGUAGAAGGAAAGCUGGUACUGAGAACAUUUGUCUUCACUCCAGACUAAAGAGAAGCGGGUCUGAGGCCAGAGAUGGAGGAGUCAAUGGUCACCAAAUGCAGCGCUGCAGCCUGAAACUGUGAAGACUGAAUUCCCAAACAGCUCUGUGACCGCACAGAUGUUACGGCCAUAAAAGAAACUUCACAACUGAGAGCCCAUACCUCCAACAACCUUCAACAGGAAUCAAUGGACAUCUACGCAAGGUUUUUCUUUUGUUGAGGACCGUCAGAGACUCCAGCCACACGAGCCAUGGAUUGCUCUCAACAUCACCAUCAGACAGACAUUAUCACAGAACCAGCACCAGCAGACUGCAAAACAAGUUCCUUCAACAGGCAAUCAGACUGAACUGAACUCGUACCAGUAACACCACACACACACACACACACACACACACACACACACACACACACACACACACACACACACACACACACACACACACAUACACACACCAGCAGCCUCAUACUGUGUGCACUGCACUCUAUCAGCUACACUGACUGGACUCUGACUCACUAUUAUUCUGCAACCUGAUAUUCUGUUUGCACUAAUUCAUACUGUGCUGAAAGUGAAAGUGACGUGACAUACAGUCAAGUAUGGUGACCCAUACUCAGAAUUUGUGCUCUGCAUUUAACCCAUCCGAAGUGCACACACACAGAGCAGUGAACACACACACACUGUGAACACACACCCGGAGCAGUGGGCAGAGGUAUAUCUACAGUAUACAGUGAUUGUUGUUAAUUGUUUUCAUUUUGUUCUCUCUGUAUAGUAUAGUAUUGCACUAUAUUUUCUACCUGUAUUGAGCUCUUAUGUAUACGGUUUAUAUUUUUGAUACUGUAUAUGUGUUGCAAAUAUAUUCAGUACUUGUCAUGCUGCAGUUUGCAGAAAAGCAUUUUACCACCUGUAUACUUGCAUUCAUGGUAUUGUGAUAAUAAAAUGAUUUGAUUUGAA